AGUCUUCAGGGCGAGGUGUAAGUCCUCACCGGCGGUAUAGCCCGCGAGCUAAGUUUUUAGUUGAUUCGGUUAAAUUCCGGAGCCGACAGUAUAGUCUGGAUGAGAGAAGAU
rnacentral:ncRNA from 1 species